UACAUGGGGUGCAAACGUUGCUCGGAAUUAUUGGGCGUAAAGCGCACGUAGGCGGUCGCUUAAGUCGGAUGUGAAAGCCCUCGGCUCAACUGAGGAAGUGCAUCCGAAACUGAGUGGCUAGAGUAUGGUAGAGGGUCGCGGAAUUCCCGGUGUAGAGGUGAAAUUCGUAGAUAUCGGGAGGAACACCGGUGGCGAAGGCGGCGACCUGGGUAGAUACUGACGCUGAGGUGCGAAAGCGUGGGGAGCAAACAGG
rnacentral:rRNA from 1 species